rnacentral:lncRNA from 1 species
GGGACCGGUGUUGGAGCAGUUUGCUCCUGGGGUUUGGAUCCUGUGGUACAGACCCAUGUUGGAGCAGUUCUUGAAGAACUGCGGCCUGUGGGCAGCUCUUUCAAUCAUAUUUUCUCCCCCCUUUCCUUUGAGGUGGGGGAGUGAGAGAACAGUUGGGGUGAAGUUCAGCUGCCUACCAGGGUAAAACCACCACAGGCUGUAACCUUUAGCUCCACCUUGUUAUUUAUGAAGCCUUUCAAAUACAAUAUUCCCAGCAUGAAUGAUCUCCAUUCCUUUCCUGCCCAUGGAAGAAAAAUAUGUCAUUGCUUGCCUUACCACAUACAGUUGGAUCUUGUAUUCCAGAAGCUCUCUGGGAGGACCUUAUUCUCAGUGGCAAGGCACAUCCAGGCUGAUGACACUGAAAGAAUUGAUGAAUGUACAAUGAAGUUGGGCAUACUGAUGCACAUCAGCAUAGUUCUGACAAACUACAUGGUGGAAAAAGGAGGCAUCAUUUUCUAUAGAAAAACCUACAGUGUAGAUAUUGAAAAUAGCACUGGAAAAAAAAUAUGA